rnacentral:rRNA from 1 species
GAUCCUGGCUCAGGACGAACGCUGGCGGCGUGCUUAACACAUGCAAGUCGAACGAAAAGAGGGAAAGAGCUUGCUCUUUCCGGAAUUGAGUGGCAAACGGGUGAGUAACACGUAAACAACCUGCCUUCAGGAUGGGGACGAACAGACGGAAACGACUGCUAAUACCGAAUAAGUUCCAAGGGCCGCAUGGCCCAUGGAAGAAAAGGUAGGCCUCUACCUGUAAGCUAUCGCCUGAAGAGGGGUUUGCGUCUGAUUAG